rnacentral:tRNA from 1 species
GCCCUCGUAGCACAACGGAUAGUGCAAGCCGAUUCUAGCGGCAAGGUUGCGGGUUCAAAUCCUGCCGAGGGCG